rnacentral:rRNA from 1 species
UGAGACACGGUCCAGACUCCUACGGGAGGCAGCAGUGGGGAAUAUUGCACAAUGGGGGAAACCCUGAUGCAGCUAUGCCGCGUGUGUGAAGAAGGCCUUCGGGUUGUAAAGCACUUUCAGUGGGAAAGAAGGCAUCAAUGUUAAUAUCAUUGAUGAUUGACGUUACCCAAAGAAGAAGCACCGGCUAACUCCGUGCCAGCAGCCGCGGUAAUACGGAGGGUGCUAGCGUUAAUCGGAAUUACUGGGCGUAAAGCGUAUGUAGGCGGUUUAUUAAGUCAGAUGUGAAAUCCCUAGGCUUAACCUUGGAACUGCAUUUGAAACUGAUAGGCUAGAGUCUCGUAGAGGGGGGUAGAAUUCCAGGUGUAGCGGUGAAAUGCGUAGAGAUCUGGAGGAAUACCAGUGGCGAAGGCGACCCCCUGGAUGAAAACUGACGCUCAGAUAC